UCGGGUAUGGUGUAGCGGUAACAUCGGUGACUCUCAUGAUUGGGUUCCUCACCAGCCCGGGGUUCGACUCCCCGUAUCCGAG